CUGGUCUGAGAGGAUGAUCAGCCACACUGGGACUGAGACACGGCCCAGACUCCUACGGGAGGCAGCAGUGGGGAAUUUGGACAAUGGGCGAAAGCCUGAUCCAGCCAUGCCGCGUGAGUGAAGAAGGCCUUCGGGUUGUAAAGCUCUUUCAGACGGAAAGAAUAGCCUCGGUGAAUAUCCGAGGUUGAUGACGGUACCGUAAGAAGAAGCACCGGCUAACUACGUGCCAGCAGCCGCGGUAAUACGUAGGGUGCGAGCGUUAAUCGGAAUUACUGGGCGUAAAGCGUGCGCAGGCGGUUACAUAAGACAGAUGUGAAAUCCCCGGGCUUAACCUGGGAACUGCGUUUGUGACUGUGUGACUAGAGUACGGUAGAGGGGGGUGGAAUUCCUGGUGUAGCAGUGAAAUGCGUAGAUAUCAGGAGGAACAUCGAUGGCGAAGGCAGCCCCCUGGACCUGUACUGACGCUCAUGCACGAAAGCGUGGGG
rnacentral:rRNA from 1 species